rnacentral:rRNA from 1 species
UGCCAGCAGCCGCGGUAAUACGAAGGGGGCUAGCGUUGUUCGGAUUUACUGGGCGUAAAGCGUACGUAGGCUGAUUGAUAAGUUAGGGGUGAAAUCCCGAGGCUCAACCUCGGAACUGCCUCUAAUACUGUCAAUCUCGAGUCCGGAAGAGGUGAGUGGAACUCCUAGUGUAGAGGUGGAAUUCGUAGAUAUUAGGAAGAACACCAGUGGCGAAGGCGGCUCACUGGUCCGGUACUGACGCUGAGGUACGAAAGCGUGGGGAGCGAACGGGAUUAGAUA